GAAGUAAUUUCAAGAACUCCUACCUGUCUUGACCAAACCUGGCUUCCUAAUCUUGCUGCGGACUUAAAAAUCCUGUGUUGUGCAUCAAACCUGAUAUUAGUUGUCUUCCUUUUUGCAGAGGCUGCUUUAACUGCUUUAAUCCUCUACCCCUGUCUCCCAGGAAACUGAAGUGGCUUUGUGUUCUCAUCGCUGGAGUCUGGAGCCUUGGCAGACCAAUUUCACAAGGUCAAGUGCCAAAGGACAGAGGUUGUGGCCCCGUGGCUUACCCAUGGCAGGGAGGCCCACCCUGCCUGCAUGAGGUCCCUGCUCCAGAGUGCAAAGGGGAGGAGAUGAAGAUUCCCCCCUUUCAGCUGAAAUCUGAAGGAGGAACAAGCGUGGAUUUAGCAAAAGAACCAAACAAAGAAUUUUCUGGCUGAAUCCAACCACUAGAAGAACAGAAGGAAGACUGGACACUGGGAAUUAGGGAAUGAGGUGAGGCGGGAGGUGCAGAUCUGGCAGGACCCAUGUUGUAUCCUGAGAGAAGUGUAUUCCCACCAUGGGGAAGCUGUCACAUGGUCUCAAGCAAGGCAAAGUCACCACCAGAUCUGCGUCUUGAAGAGCCUGGCUCAAAGGAGAGAGAGUGUCCUCAGGGGGACAGAGCUGAGGACGCGGUGGCAGCAUGCAAGGAGACAUAUUUACAAGGUGUCCACCCAAGAGAAACAAAGACCAUCUCCACACCGAGACUCAUACCCAUGUCCACAAGCAGCUUCAUUUGCAACAGCCAAAAAGUAGAAACAAUGGAAAUGCCACGAGUGAGGGAGCAGAUGCAGAGCAGAUGUCCAAUUGGUGGGAUGCUACUGAACAACCUGCUGGCAGAUAACAAUGUGACUCGUUCACAGUGCCUUCUACUGAAUGGAAGGAGCCUGGCAAAAGAAGACUACAUACAAUAUGACAUCAUGUAUAUAAAAUUCUACAAAAUGCAAA